rnacentral:rRNA from 1 species
UGCCAGACUCCUACGGGAGGCAGCAGUGGGGGAUAUUGCACAAUGGGGGGAACCCUGAUGCAGCGACGCCGCGUGGGUGAAGGAGCGUUUCGGCGCGUAAAGCCCUAUCGGUAGGGAAGAAGGAGGACGGUACCUGACUAAGAAGCCCCGGCUAACUCCGUGCCAGCAGCCGCGGUAAUACGGGGGAUGCAAGCGUUAUCCGGAUUUAUUGGGUUUAAAGGGUGCGUAGGCUGUGAGGUAAGUCAGCGGUGAAAUGCCCCCGCUCAACGGGGUGAAGUGCCAUUGAUACUGCCUUGCUGGAAUGCGGAUGCCGUGGGAGGAAUGCGUGGUGUAGCGGUGAAAUGCAUAGAUAUCACACAGAACACCGAUUGCGAAGGCAUCUCACGAAUCCGCGAUUGACGCUGAUGCACGAAAGCGUGGGUAUCAAACAGGAUUAGAUACCCUAGUA